rnacentral:rRNA from 2 species
CAGGAUAAGUCGUAACAGGUAGCCGUAAGUCGUAACAAGGUAUCGUAGAGUUUGAUCCUGGCUCAGAACGAACGCUGGCGGCGUGCUUAACACAUGCAAGUCGAACGCGAAAGCAUCCUUCGGGGUGCGAGUAGAGUGGCGCACGGGUGAGUAACACGUAGACAACCUGCCUUCCAGUUCGGGAUAACCUCUUGAAAGAGGGGCUAAUACCGGAUAACACGCUUCAUCGCAUGGUGAGGCGUUGAAAGGCUUGCUGCUGGAAGAGGGGUCUGCGGGACAUUAGCUUGUUGGUGGGGUAACGGCCCACCAAGGCUGCGAUGUCUAGCGGGUCUGAGAGGAUGAUCCGCCACACUGGAACUGAGACACGGUCCAGACUCCUACGGGAGGCAGCAGUGGGGAAUUUUGCGCAAUGGGCGAAAGCCUGACGCAGCAGCGCCGCGUGAGUGAAGAAGGCUCUUGGGUCGUAAAGCUCUUUUCUGAGGGAAGAGCAAAGACGGUACCUCAGGAAUAAGCACCGGCUAACUCCGUGCCAGCAGACGC